GACGAACGCUGGCGGCGUGCUUAACACAUGCCAGUCGAACGAAGAGCGAUGGACGCUUGCUUCUAUCAAUCUUAGUGGCGAACGGGUGAGUAACGCGUAAUCAACCUGCCCUUCAGAGGGGGACAACAGUUGGAAACGACUGCUAAUACCGCAUACGAUCUAAUCUCGGCAUCGAGGAUAGAUGAAAGGUGGCCUCUACAUGUAAGCUAUCACUGAAGGAGGGGAUUGCGUCUGAUUAGCUAGUUGGAGGGGUAACGGCCCACCAAGGCGAUGAUCAGUAGCCGGUCUGAGAGGAUGAACGGCCACAUUGGGACUGAGACACGGCCCAGACUCCUACGGGAGGCAGCAGUGGGGAAUCUUCCGCAAUGGACGAAAGUCUGACGGAGCAACGCCGCGUGAGGGAUGACGGCCUUCGGGUUGUAAAGCUCUGUUAAUCGGGACGAAAGGCCUUCUUGCGAACAGUUAGAAGGAUUGACGGUACCGGAAGAGAAAGCCACGGCUAACUACGUG
rnacentral:rRNA from 1 species